rnacentral:lncRNA from 1 species
AAGAUAAAAUCUUCCAUUUCUCGCCGGCCUCUAUUGCGCGACUUAAAAAACAAGUCAAUUCUGAGAUCGUCACCGUGGACAUAGAGACUGACAAUCGGAAAUCUAAAGCACCAGUGAUCUCAUCUCUCCUAUCCGUAUCUGCGUUAAUCUGGAGAUCGAUCACAAGAGCUCGGUGUUUACCAAAGACUGAACUGGUAAGUUUUAAACUGGCGUGCAAUUACCGGUCAAGAAUGUUACCUCCACUUCCGCCGACAUACUUCGGAAACUGCAUCGGAGCAGUCUCCACCGUCCCCAUCCCUUCCGGCGAUCUUCUCGCACGAAACCUUGGACAGACGGCUUCCCUAUUACACGGCAUCGUGAGUUCGGUGAAGGAUGACGUUAUAAUACGGAAAGAAAUCGACAGAUAUGUGUCGGAACCUGUAUUUUUCUCAAUCAGUGGCUUCGCAAAGAACAAUGGUGUUGGGAUGACAAGUUCACCGCGGUUUGAGGUAUACGAGUGUGAGUUUGGAUUGGGAAAGCCGUUCGGAGUAAUGAUCGGAGGCGCUAAUAUCUAUGACGGGAAGGUGACAUCUUUUCCCGGAAGAGAAGGACAUGGGAGCAUGGAUAUGGUUAUUUGUCUCUCGCCGGAGACGAUGGCGAAACUUGAGGGUGAUUUGGAGUUUCUGAACUUUAUAGAAGUGAUUUAGAUUUACCGAGGUAAUUUAUAUAAAUACCCUUUAUAUAUGAUUAUGUAGAUAUUAAACUAACAUUUGUGAUUUGACCAGUUAUUUCCCAUUAACCCGUAUCAGGUUAGACAGGUUUUCAUAAGAACCUAUAUUCAUCACGUCUGUCCGUCUUCCAGAAGAAUGAGGGCCGUCGAUUUCAACUAGUAGCAACCGGUAGACGGUUGUAGUAGUUCCCAAUGUAUUGCAACCUGUUAAAUAAAAAAAACAAAAUAAUUACUGACAUUGAUUUAGUAGUAUUGACUAGAAUUAAAUGUCAUAGCUUCGAUUGUUUUGAUUAGUCAUUGAUAAUCUCUACAGAUGAGAUGUAGAACAAUUAUAAUAGAGACACAUAAUAUAUCAUCGGAUAAAUUUUAAGUGAAAAUAUACAAAAUAAGAUUCAAACUCUGAAACUAAAAAAUCUUAAUAAUUUCUAAGAUCAAUGAGUCAACCUUAUUUUGUCUCCCAACCGUUUUUCACACUCAGAAACCUCAAAAUUCUUCACACUCUCACUUCUACCCUAUUAUUUCCCUCCCAACCGUUCUUCCUCACCCUCGACCCCUCGAUGACCGUUACUCUCAACCCAUCGAUUUAAUACAGUGCAACUGUCUGACGGUUUUAUUUCUCUCACUAGUCGCGUCUUCGGCUCUCUAUUGCAGCUAUUUCGAAACCCAUUUUUUUGUUAUAAACAAGUAUGUUAUGUAUAAAAUUUUAUGGGUUUACCCUAUUAUCAUCUUCAUUUUGUUUCUUUAUUCCGACAGUUACUUCCAUUCCACAACCGUUUUCUUUUUCAAAAACCCUGGUUGUUGCUAUAAAAAGGUAUUGUGGUUCUAAAAAUAUUUGGGUUCAUCAUCGUCACUCAUUGCUUCUUUUUCUUCUCGUUAUUGUAAAGUUUUUGUUAAGGAUUUUAUUUUCGUGUUUAUUUCAUACGCGUGGAUGUUUUUUUGGCAUUGUUUUUGUAUUUUGUUUACAACAUUUCCUAUUUUAUCAAUUUGUGGGUUUCUCUGUUUUUCUCUGUAGACUGUGGGUUUCUUUGUUUUAUUCAUUUUCUUUUAAACAAUCUGAUGAAGGUGGAACCUGAUCAGAUCUGGUUUCAAAUCGACUUUCUGGGAUCGACUUUCUUAGAGAUCGACGUUGUCCAAAUCGACUUUUUGUCCAGUUCGACUUCUGAGAAAGUAGAUCUCUGGGAAAGUCGACCUUCCCAUGAGUUAACUUGGGACCUCCCCAAACCUAUAUGGGUAUCUCAAUUCAUUUCGGGCUAUCCGAACCUCUAGUUGCUGGUGCGUUGUGACCAAGUUCGGAAUACUGUAUCAUAACAAUCUUUGAUUUUUUAUUUGUUAUAGUUCUGUUAGAAAAUGUCUUCAUCUAGUUCUGAUGAUGCUCCAAAGAAAAAACUUGUAUAAGUUCAAAAAAUUCUCAGCCUCGCGUUGUAUCAUUCACCUCUGAUGGUAAUUUUUUUUAAAUAAAUAUAUUUUAUUCAAGUCUGUGAUUUUAGUAUGUAUUAUGAUUGCUAGUAAGGAUAUGGUGCUAUUCAGAACGCAAUAUGGAUUUGUCACUUAUCCAAAUCAAUUUAUUUUAUCUGGGUUAGAUUUCAAUAUUAUAAAAUAUUUGUUUUGAAUAUCUCCCAUGUUAGUUUGUCAAUUUUAUUUAAUCCAUGUUAGUGUUCAUGAGAAGAGACAGUUUGAUCAAAAUUAAUAGAGUACGCAUUGUGUUUUCUAUUUCCUUUUGCAAUAAUCUUAUUUUCGGAGUUUGUGAUUCUGCACAACUGUUUUCCGAAUUUAACUAUAUAACCUAUAUCACACAACUGACUUAUGUUAAUUAGGUUGUGUUUUAAACCUUCUACUAAAUAUACAUUUUUAAGAAAAUGAUUAUUUACACUACCUACUGUACCCAUUCCUAAUAUGGUACCUGUUUUGUCAUCUGCGAAGAUGACAGUUUUCCCCUUGGGAACUGAAACUAUAUCUCUUAACAGACUUCUGUUUCCAGUCAUGUGACGUGUGCAUCCACUGUCGAAUAGCCGUUUGGACAUAUGAUUGACCUGUGGAUAAGAGAAUGGUUUUUCCUUAGACACCCAUAUUUUUGGGUCUUAAAUGAUUAACAGAAAUAUUCUUAAAAUGUUGCAGUUCUUCCUUAGACACCCAUAUCUCUUUUAUACUCAUUUUGUUAUUGGGAGAAAUCUUUUUAUGUUUAACCUGAGUGUCUUUGUGUGUGGAUUCUCGCACAAAAUAUUUAUUGUAUGAUACAGAAGUGUUUGGAGAAGGAGAUUCAUGUUCAAAACCUAAACCGAACUUUCUUAGUCCAGUGUUGGAUUUUUUAAUCAUGUCAUCAAGCAUCUUGGAACUAUAUGUGAAUUUUGAAAUAUCUUGUUUAUAUUCACAUAUUUUUCUUUCUAAUAUUUCUAUAUGAAAUGCUUGUGAGUUAAUGUUUACUAGCAGAUCUUUUUCGAGUGUCUGACAUUUCUCUUUAUCUUUAUAUCCUAAAAUCGUUUCAUCUUGUUUAACUUAUUUCCUUGUUAAUGAUUCUAGUUUUGUUUCCAGAUUCAGAUUCAUUUCUUUUAGACGUUCUAUUUGAUCUAGAUCUUUUAAAUGUGUGGAAGAAGGAUUCUUCCCUGGUCUCAGCAUGAUCUAAGAGGAUUAAAUUAUGCUCCUUUAGUUGUUCUACAACUUUUUCUCUAGAUUUUAAUUUUUUUGUUAAAUCAGUGUUUUCAAGCCUAAGUUUUUAGUUCAUGAUUAUCAGACGAAUUAGUAUUUUGCAUGCAUUUUUCUUGUAUAGACUUACCUAAUUCCUUUUCUGAUUCAUACCUAGAUACUAGCUCUAAAUAAGACGUUUCUAGUUCUUGAUAAUCAUAAAAACUUACCUGGGUGUCUGAGUCGUUGGCCAUCAGACAUCCAUCAACUUCAGAGUCUUCAUCAGUAUCAGACCAGCUGAUUUGAUGAGCAGUAUCCCUAGACUUUGGAUAGUUAUAUCUUGUGUGUCCAGUUUUGUUACAUCUGUAACAUAUUACUUCCUUUUGUUUUUCUGCUUCCUUCUAUUUAGAUUGGUCUGGCCUGUGUGGCUUGUAAUGUGAACUGCUCGCUUUAGAUUCUUUCCUUUUCUUGAUCAGCUUAUAUAGUUUGGCAGUGAUAAGUGCAAGCUCAUCUUCAUCAGAUUAUGCCAUCAGGUUCCCAACUAACUCCACUACACGAAGCUUGUUCAAGUCGUGGGCUUCUUGGAUGACAUUUCUUUUCGAAUCAUAUUUGUCAGGAAGGCUUUUUAGAAUUUUUCCAACUUGAUUCUUUUCGCUGAUAGGCUCACCCAUACCAGCUAGAUCGUUGACGAUGUUGAUGAGACUUUUGUUCAUCUCAAAAAUAGUUUCUCCUUCUUUCAUAGUGAAGUUCUCAUAUUCCCUAUGAACAUGUAGAAGUUUGUUCUCCUUCACAUGAGAUGUGCCUUCAUGAAUGGUUUCCAACUGUUUCCAGAUGUCAUGAGUUAUGUCGAACCCUCGGAUGGAACUGUACUCAGAUUCAUCUAAUGCCCUAUAAAGUGCAUUCAUUGCCUUUGCGUUGAAUCUGCACAUUUGUUUGCCGAGAAUGGUCCAUUCGACUUCUUUUGUAGUUGGAGGCUCAUAUUCUUCAUGAAUGACUCUCCAUCUCACUGUGUAGCGAGACAUCAGAUGUAUUCUCAUUUUUUUCUUCCAAAAUUCAUGCCUGGUUCCAUCGAAGAUCGGAGGUUUGUUUGAUGUAAAACCCUGAUAUCCUUGUUCUUCUUGUGCCAUGUUAGAAACAGAUGUGAAACUGUUAAUAACCUACUUGGCUCUGAUACCACUUGUAGGAUCUUGAUCAGAGGCUUGGGGGGGGGGGUAAUAGCCUCUUUUCGUGAUUUCUCAGAAGAUUUGCGGAAUACCUGAGAAUAUAAGUUAGAGACAAGGAUAUAUAUAAAGGUUGUCUGUUCUUUGUAAGUUUACCGCAAUAUACAAAUACUGAGUCCACUUAUAAGAUUGUGGUUUUUAUAUAACUGUAGUAUAUGAAUAUUAAAUUAUAUAGACACACGUUUAAGAGCAAGCAAACAGAUGACUAAGUAUAUAUUCUAACUUGAUAAAAACUGCUUUUUAACCUAACUGUAGUAUAUGAAUACCAAGUUCUCUUAUUAGCGAAUAAAUAAUAUAAGUUAAAAUAUAUAAGUAUAUGUGACUAGGUAACUGGAUAUGUAUAUUUGUCUAAUAAUAACCUCAGUCAAAUACCAGAUAACUGGAUGAGGGAUUUGUAGGAAAAUAGUCAACCUCAAUCUAUGACCAUAUAACUAGAUGAGGGAUCUCUUUUUAGUUGUUUUUUAUCUUGUUAAACUUUUAAAAAUAGAAAAGCGGAAAGUAAAGGAGACAUAAAGAUUUUUAUACUGGUUCACCCAAACAAGGACUAAUCCAGUUCCGAUGAAACACGGAGGUCACUAGCCUGAAGGUAAUGACAAAACUUCUGCCAAAUUUUAAGGCUAAACGCCUGUGAACCACCUAAGAGUAUUCAAGAACUUUUAAAAACCUCUGCCAAGCUUUAAGGCUAAACAUUUGUGAACCCUCUAAGAGUAUUAAGGGACUCUUAAAAACCUCUGCCAAGCUUUAAGACUAAAUGCUUGUGAACCCUCUAAGAGUAUUAAGGAACUCUUAAAAAACCUUGAACCUUUAAGGCAGAUUCAACCUAAGAGUUUUCCUAGAAACUCUAUAGAACCACACCGAGUUUUAUGGUUGAAUUCGUUGAAUCUUUCAAAUGUUGAUGUUGAGACGCACCUCUUACAACACUUGGACUACUUACAAGAUGUAGAGUUUUUUCUUCUAACACACUUUCAACAUACACAAGAGGGGAAGAAGAAGAAGUUGAAGAACUAGAACACACAACCUUGAGAGCAACUUUCACACAAAGCUUGAACAAGAGCUAAAGCUUGAGCAAGAGCAAGUGAGUAAGAAAGUAGAGUUUUGAUCCAAAGAGAGCUUUGACAAGAAUGGCAAGUGAUGGCUUUAGCUCUUGGGUGUGCACCUCCUUUUAUAGUAGACGUUGGAGACAUGAAGGUAAUUUCUUCAACUCUUAAACACCUAGGAAGAAGAGAUUAAAAAACCUUCAUUGAAUACUCCAUUGGCGAUUUUCAUUGGUAGAGAGCUUCACUUGAAUUUGAAUUUUCAUCUUGGGAUUUUGUGUAGCAUUAAAUCCAAGAUCUUGAUUGGAUUUGAUCUUGGGAGAUUGAGCCCUCACACGUUUUCCACUCUCCAUUUUUGAACUCUUUAUCUAGGAUUUUGUGUAGUAUUGAAUCUAAGAUCCUUGUAGUUAAUAUGUUGGAUAUGCUAUUGGAAUCUUUAUCAUGAUUGCACUUCUACACGUUUUUUACAUCUUGGGUCCAUUUGAAGCUUGAAUGAAUAGUUGUAGUUCUCACACCUUGUUGAUUAACCUUUAAGACAUUAAUCAACUUAAAACAUGAGUUAAUGUAAGCAAGUAAGUGUGCAUAAUUAAAUCCAAGCUUCAAUAAUUAACUUGAUUAAUAAUAGAGAUUUGUUUGAUGAAAAUAAUUAAGACUAAUCUCAUUUUAGUUUAAUCAAAUAUCAAGUCAAUUUUAUCUACAUGAGUUCAAUAGAUUUAUCUAUGUAACUUUAACUCAUAUAUUUUUCUGUAAAUAAAAUUAAUUAACAACUAAAUAUGUCAUUGAGAAUUUUAUUUCUACAAUACUAUCUCUUGAGGGGGAGUAUCACGAACUCUCCUCGACAUUUCUGUCGCUCCGACCGGAUGUCGUCACAUCUCGGGGGGUAGUAUCACAGAUUCUCUCUGGCACUUCUGUCGCUUCGGUCAGAAAUUGUCACGUUUUAUCCAGGUACUCAAGGGGAGAGUAUCACAAACUCUCCCCGACACUUCUGUCGCUCCGGCCGGAAGUUGUUGAAUAUGAGCACGGUAAAUCUGUCGCUUUAGCCAGAUUUACUGAGAAUUUAUUCGAACAAAAGGAAGAGCCGGAAGUUAUUGAAUAUGAGCACGGUAAAUCUGUCGCUUUGGUCAGAUUUACUGAGGAUUUAUUCGAACAAAAGGAAGAGUAACACGAAAGGUAACAUUGCACGAUAAGUUCCAUAAGUCAAUAAAAUAUGCGUUUUAAACUGAUUCAGUUGUUUUACAGGAUGUUUUCUUUUUUUGCAGGUAUGAUUCUGUCGCUUUUGACAGAAUCAGAUCUAUUUUGUCGCUUUGACCUCGAUAGAUCAAGGAUCAUUUUGUCGCUUUGGCCUUAAUGAUCCUAACCCAUCAUUCUGAUUAUUUGCAUUGAUGGGUUAACCGUCAUUGCGAACAUAAAGUCGCUCUUGAUCAGGGUUGACUAUAAACAUUAGUUUUAUCGCUUUGGCUAGAACUAGAUUCUGCCGCUUUGGCCAGAAUCAUAUCUAUUUUGUCGCUUUGGCCUUAAUAGAUCAAGGUCCAUUUUGUCGCUUUGGCCUUAAUAGAUCAAGGUCCAUUUUGUCGCUUUGGCCUUAAUGGACCAAGAAUUAUUUCGUCGUUUUGGCCUUAAUAAUUCUCUCAUCUUAUCGCUUUGGCCUUGAUGACACACCAAAUGUCGCUCUUCAUCAGAGUUAGAUUAUAAACACGUAGUUCUGUGGCCUAGAACUAGAUUUUGUCGCUUCAGCUAGAAUCAGUCCAUUUUGUCGCUUUGGCCUUAAUGGAUCUAGAAUCAUUGUAUCGCUGUGGCCACAAUGAUUCGAUCACAUCUUGUCGCUUUGGCCUUGAUGCGGAUCACACACACAACCUUGUUUGGAGGGGAUACUGACGAUAUCCGCAUGUUUCUUUUGCUCUCUUCAGGAGGGAUCGGAGUACUGGUGAGACAUUAUGCCUGAUUACGUCAGUCACUCCUAGCAACGUCCUUCAACAAGGACUAGAGUUUCGUCGCUUUAUGUCGGACCCCCGGAAGGCUCCACGGUUGUGGAACAAAGGUCGUCGUCAAGUCCUCAAGUUAACCCCGUGAGUAACCGAUUGGGCUAUCAAGUAGCCGAUUCCAGUGGUGAAUCGUCGAGUCAAGGUCGUAUUAGUCAGCACUGGUAGGCUGCCAACAAGUAACGUACACGAAUCGGCGAUUCAGGUGGGAAUCGGCUAUUCGCCACCAGAAUUGGCGAUUUGGUAGCCCAAUCGACAAUUCAUGGGGUUAACUUGAGGAUUUGACGAUGACAUUUGUUCACAACCGUGGAGCCCUCCGAGGGUCCGGCAUAAAGCGAUAGAACCUUAGUCCUUGUUGAAAGGCGUUGAUGGGAGUGACUGACGUAAUCAGACAUGUCUUACCAACAGUAAACUUAGAAAGAACAGACAAUCUUUUUAUAUAUCCUUGUUUCUAACUUGUAUUCUCAUGCAGGUAUUUCGUAAAUCUACUAAGAAAUCACGAAAAGAGACUAUAACCCCUCUUAAGCCUCUGAUCAAGAUCUUACAGAUAAUUUAUUUGUUUAUUACUGUAUUAUGUUGUAAGAACAAUUAACGUAUAGGUAAAAAAAAAUAGAUUAUAUAGCAAAUUUAGGAUACAUAUUGCCGAGUAUAACUGGGCUAGUUUUCUUGGAAAUGUCUUAUUUGACAGGAUGAAGAAAUGCCGCGACAGCAUUCUAAGUCGCAAGAGAACCAACGAGCCUUCCAAAGUCUACAUGAAUGAAUGGUUGUGUAGUAUGUUUAAUGGUAAAUUUUGAAUAUUUAUUUUUACUAUUUAAAUUCAUUUAAUGAAUAUGUAUCCAUUUAGGUAUGACUUUUCAAACAUCCUUUUGUUGCUAGCCCAAAAGAAGAAAUUGUGGCUAACGAACCCUAUUUUAAGAAAAAAUGGGAUGGAAAAUUAACCUAUUUGAAAUAGAAGCUUCUCACUGAUUCGGAGGUAAUUUUAUUCCUGAAGAUUUGUCAUAAAAAGUGUUUUAAUUGUGUGUUAAAAUAAGCAUUGAGUAUGAUUUAACAAAUUCCUCCAGCUUGGAUUUCGUCAUUUGCAUUGAGACAACACUGUAGCCUGUAGCUGUAGGUAAUAAUGAAGUAAAUGAACGUAAUAAAUUAAGAUCUGAUAAUUUUUGUAUCUCUCAUUAUAGACUAAUUUAUGACCGGUCAGGUCUCAAAUGGAUCCGUAUUGGACCCUAACCCUAGUUACAUUACGGCAAUAACUAAAUAUUACUGAUUCAAACAAAUUAACCAAAUAAUUUAUUGAACUUACUAUACUUCUUCUUCCCUUGAGAUUUAUCAUUUGUUAUUCCGAGGUCCCGUUCUGCCGUCGAAACAUGCAUGUAAUGUGGACCUUCAGUGGGACUAGUAGCCCUUAGAGUCGGUGGGUUUUGGUUGUAGCGGCUUUGUUAAAUCACAUGGACGGUCAAAAUCUACAUCAAUCAUCGAGCCGUCGGCGAUCCGUCUCUAACUUUAAAGUUUUUUACGGCCUUUCAAAUAAAUACCCAAAAAAAUUUAUUAGAAAAUAAGCAAAAUAAUUCGAGUGAGAUUCAACAUGUCUGCAAAGCAAGUAUUCAAAAUCUCAGAAUGCCAGAUCCAGCCACAGAGUCGACCGGAUUCUUCUCCGAAGAGGUACGAAUUAUCAUCGUGGGACUUGCCGAUGAUCCCCAUCGGACCGAUCCAAAAAGGUCUCCUCUUCCAUAUCCCGUCGGAAGUCUUACCGCAGCAACUCAAUCCGAUCAUCGACAAACUCAAGAGCUCUCUCUCCAUUGUUCUCUCUCACUUCCUUCCCCUAUCCGGCCGUCUCGUCACCGAAACCGUCGAAGACGGGGGGCUCUUCACGUUUAUACGAUGCGGGAAUGAGGAUGCCGGAGCUGGGUUUCACCGAGCGGUUGCAGAUAAGAUUUCUGUUGCUGAUGUACUCAACUCCCGUUACUCUCCCACCUACGUUCGGUGAGGAAUUUGGGGUUAUUUGCAAACACGUCCCUGGAUAAUGGAUAUGAUUUUGUGAUAAUUAAUCCUUUAUUUUUAUGUAAUAAUAUGUAAUUUACAGAGAUUUCUUUCCUUACAACGGGAUGAUUAAUCACGAAGGUCAUCACCUUCCUCUGCUUGCGGUUCAGGUCACGGAGUUAAUCGACGGGAUAUUCCUCGGAUGUACGGUAAACCAUAUUCUCUGCGACGGAACUUCGUUUUGGAACUUCAUGAGGACGUGGUCCGAUGUCGUCUCCGGUAAACUCUUCUUUUCCGAUGACCAAAAAGGCCCUUUACUGAUUCAUAACACAUCAUCGCCGAUCAAGUUGCCAUUCCAGAAUCUGGAUACCCUCAUCGAUAAAUCAGAAUCUUCUGUGCCGGAUCUUCAAGAUAAAAUCUUCCAUUUCUCGCCGGCCUCUAUUGCGCGACUUAAAAAACAAGUCAAUUCUGAGAUCGUCACCGUGGACAUAGAGACUGACAAUCGGAAAAACCGGUGAUCUCAUCUCUCCUAUCCGUAUCUGCGUUAAUCUGGAGAUCGAUCACAAGAGCUCGGUGUUUACCAAAGACUGAACUGGUAAGUUUUAAACUGCUGUGUAAUUACCGGUCAAGACUGUUACCUCCACUUCCGCCGACAUACUUCGGAAACUGCAUCGGAGCAGUCUCCACCGUCCCCAUCCCUUCCGGCGAUCUUCUCGCACGAAACCUUGGACAGACGGCUUCCCUAUUACACGGCAUCGUGAGUUCGGUGAAGGAUGACGUUAUAAUACGGAAAGAAAUCGACAGAUAUGUGUCGGAACCUGUAUUUUUCACAAUCAGUGGCUUCGCAAAGAACAAUGGUAUUGUGAUGACAAGCUCACCGCGGUUUGAGGUAUACGAGUGUGAGUUUGGGUUGGGAAAGCCGGUCGGAGUAUUGAUCGGAGGUGCUAAUAUAUAUGACGGGAAGGUGACAUCUUUUCCCGGAAGAGAAGGGCAUGGGAGCAUGGAUAUGGUUAUUUGUCUCUCGCCG